rnacentral:rRNA from 1 species
UUUUUGGAGAGUUUGAUCUUGGCUCAGGACGAACGCUGGCGGCGUGCCUAAUACAUGCAAGUCGAGCGCUGGAAGCUAAUUUCAUCCCUUCGGGAUGAAAUUAGUGGAAAGAGCGGCGGACGGGUGAGUAACACGUGGGCAACCUACCUAUAAGACUGGGAUAACUCGCGGAAACGUGAGCUAAUACCGGAUAAUACUUUUUAUUGCAUAAUAAGGAGUUUGAAAGGCGGCGU